ACCAAGAUAGUAAUUCACAUCAUACAUUUUAAAAGACCAACAGUAAUCAACUAUUACCUUUUUACUUACUUACCAGUGUCGUUGGGGGUCUAUAGGGGUUCUCACUACAUAUGGACCAAGUAUCCAUUCUAUUAACCAACCAGUCAUCCCCAUACCCAGUCUGAUAAUGGGCACCAAACACACCGCUAUUUCUAUACCCCAUCUAGUAAUGAACGUAAUCAAACAAUUCCUUAACCCCUUCCGAUAUGGGAUCUCUCAGUCUCGUCCGAUUGAGGGUAAUGACCACGACAGGGUUUACCCUACGUACCAGGUCCGUACACCCUUUCCCAUGAUACCCAGUAAGCCCCUUUAAUUUUUAGCACAUUGCAUAUACAUAGUAG
rnacentral:lncRNA from 1 species